rnacentral:lncRNA from 1 species
GCUUCCCUUGGUACCUUCUACUGGAUCCUAUGAUGGUGUGCUCCAUUCUACCCGUGUCAAAUAAAGAAAAGAAGGCCAUGGGGAUGAAUGAAUGUGGAACGUCAUCUCUCUGACUCAAGACUGUGGCCCACUAGUACUCUUCUGCCCCCUGGGGACUUCUGCAUAAGGCACCCAGCCUCUGCCGUCGCUGGAUUCCUGGGCUAGAGCAGCACCCGAGACCAGACACGGGCCAUCUGGUUAAAUGAACAACUCAACCCAGGAAUCACA